GACGAACGCUGGCGGCGCGCCUAACACAUGCAAGUCGAACGAGAGAUGAGGAGCUUGCUCUUCAGAUCGAGUGGCGAACGGGUGAGUAACGCGUGAGGAACCUGCCUCAAAGAGGGGGACAACAGUUGGAAACGACUGCUAAUACCGCAUAAGCCCACGGCUCGGCAUCGAGCAGAGGGAAAAGGAGCAAUCCGCUUUGAGAUGGCCUCGCGUCCGAUUAGCUAGUUGGUGAGGUAACGGCCCACCAAGGCGACGAUCGGUAGCCGGACUGAGAGGUUGAACGGCCACACUGGAACUGAGACACGGUCCAGACUCCUACGGGAGGCAGCAGUGGGGAAUAUUGGUCAAUGGACGAGAGUCUGAUGCAGCGACGCCGCGUGAGCGAAGAAGUAUUUCGGUAUGUAAAGCUCUAUCAGCAGGGAGAAAAAAGUGACGGUACCUGACUAAGAAGCCCCGGCUAACUACGUG
rnacentral:rRNA from 1 species